AUUGAACGCUGGCGGCAGGCUUAACACAUGCAAGUCGAGCGAGCGGCGGACGGGUGAGUAAUGUCUGGGAAACUGCCUGAUGGAGGGGGAUAACUACUGGAAACGGUAGCUAAUACCGCAUACCAUCAGAUGUGCCCAGGUGGGAUUAGCUAGUAGGUGGGGUAAUGGCUCACCUAGGCGAAGAUCCCCAGCUGGUCUGAGAGGAUGACCGGCCACACUGGAACUGAGCCACGGUCCAGACUCCUACGGGAGGCAGCAGUGGGGAAUCUUCCACAAUGGGCGCAAGCCUGAUGCAGCAAUGCCGCGUGUGUGAUGAAGGCCUUCGGGUUGUAAAGCACUUUCAGCGGGGAGGCGUUACUCGAAGAGAAAGCACUGGCUAACUCCGUGCCAGCAGCCGCGGUAAUAC
rnacentral:rRNA from 1 species